rnacentral:rRNA from 1 species
UACGAAGGGGGCUAGCGUUGUUCGGAAUUACUGGGCGUAAAGCGCACGUAGGCGGAUACUUAAGUCAGGGGUGAAAUCCUGGAGCUCAACUCCAGAACUGCCUUUGAUACUGAAGAUCUUGAGUUCGGGAGAGGUGAGUGGAACUGCGAGUGUAGAGGUGAAAUUCGUAGAUAUUCGCAAGAACACCAGUGGCGAAGGCGGCUCACUGGCCCGAUACUGACGCUGAUGCGCGAAAGCGUGGGGAGCAAACGGG